GAAGUUCGCCAGGCAAUCGCUGCGCACCUUUGCGUGGAGGAAAGUCCGGGCCCCUCAGAGCAGGAUGCCGGCUAACGGCCGGGCGUCGCGAGGCGACGGAAAGUGCAACAGAAAACAAACCGCCGAUGGUCCGCGUAACGCGGAAUCAGGCAAGGGUGAAACGGCGGGGUAAGAGCCCACCGCGGAAUUGGCAACAGUUCCGGCACGGCAAACCCCAUCCGGGGCAAGGCCAAAUAGGGGGGCAUUGCGUGGCUCGCGCCGCCCCCGGGUAGGCUGCUGGAGCGCCGCGGCAACGCGGCGCCAAGAUGAAUGAUUGCCCGGUGUCCUUCGGGACAUUCGACAGAACCCGGCUUAUCGGCGGACUUCCCGC
rnacentral:RNase_P_RNA from 1 species